AAAGCAGCAAUAAUUUUUUAUUUAAUUAAAAGCAUACCAUUGAGUCGGUCGGAAUCAGAUUUGAGAAUCCAGUACAUUUACAAUCAAAAACUGCUAGAUGCUCGAGGUCAAUACACGACUCUUCUCAAAUUAGUAAAUUAUUAGCCAAAUUUUUACUUAUUGCUUUCAAUUGCCGCGAUCUUGCCAAUGUUGCAUGACGGACAGAUGGAUCGGCCAAGCAAAUGCUGCUUACGGACGUAUAUUCCCGCAUGAUGGCAAGGCAGGCCUAAUCAAUUGUUUGGAGCGAAAUAUUUGCCGCUUGAAUGGAAAAAUAAUAUUUCGUUUAUUUUCAUUUUGUAAGAAGUUGAAACGGAGAAAUUAGAUUAGUUUGUAGUUUGUCUGCUUGAAUUCGCAGUAGAAUGAAAUUAUUAAGUUAAUACGCAAAGUAAUCUGACCAGAAGGUUACCAAACAAAAAUUUAGAAAGGCAAACUAUUAAAUUAAUUUUUUUAUCUUAGUUUCCGCAUAAAUUCUUUACUCAUGGAAAUAGAUAGAGUCUUCAAUUUGUGCAUAUAUGUACGUACAAAUCAAGUAAAACAAACGAAAGACAGGCUUUCAUUAACGCAGUUAUAGUAUGAAAAAAAAAAAAUUUAAUAUUUUCAUCGAAAAAGUACUCACUCAAAAUAUGCUUGAUUGAAGAGCUUUUUUUUCCGUAGUAAUUAUGAAGCAGGAAAAAUUGACUGAAUGCUUUGAAUAGAUUUUUCUCAAAGAAUUCAAUAAAAUAAGAUUUCAUUAAUGUCAUUAUUUGCCACUUACUAUAUACGGCUAUAGAAUGAUAAAUUGAUAGGGAUGUUAAAUUACUUAUUAUGUUGUAAACCAAGUUCAAUGCAUACGGAGGCCAAUAAAAUAUGUACCUAGACAUGUUUAUACAUACAUCCCGGCACUUAGAGUUGAUCGACUAUGCGUUCUAUGGAAUAGCUUUUCUUUUGAUACGCCAAAACGGAUUAAAUAACACAUAAUCAGGUCUACAAUGACGUAAUAAGGAUUGGCUGGUAAUUACGCGCUGAAAGCGGCAUAUAAUGACUGUUGACAUCUUUGAACAAAAUUGAGUCCUCAAGUUGAAGAGAGAGCGAGAAGCGAGUGGAUCCCAGCCAAAUCUCUGUUGUUUACAAACAAUGAAAAUUGCAUAUGUACAGACUCUACAGAUUCCAUAUGUACCUUGUAAUAAGACGUCAACACAGUCACAUUCCAGUUUAGGACUAACCAGACUAUUCCAAAGUUGUUUGCAAAUCUAUGGACCAUCACGUUUCUUUCAUGUUCCGCGGAAAUCCCGAAAUUGUGAAGAGAUCCCUAUCAAAUUAUUACCA